rnacentral:rRNA from 1 species
GACAGAGGAGCCAAGCGUUGUUCGGAAUCAUUGGGCUUAAAGGGCGUGUAGGCGGCGGCGUAAGUGUCGAGUGAAAUCCCAUCGCUCAACGAUGGAACGGCUCGGCAAACUGCGUCGCUUGAGGUCGGUAGAGGUGCCUGGAACUCUAGGUGGAGCGGUGAAAUGCGUAGAUAUCCGGAGGAACACCGGUGGCGAAGGCGGCUUCCUGGACCGACACUGACGCUGAGGCGCGAAAGCUAGGGGAGCAAACGGG